UACGUAGGGGGCAAGCGUUGUCCGGAUUUAUUGGGCGUAAAGCGCGUGUAGGCGGCUUGGCAAGUCCGCUGUGAAAACUCGAGGCUCAACCUCGAGAUGUCGGUGGAAACUGCCUGGCUAGAGUCCGGAAGAGGAGUGUGGAAUUCCUGGUGUAGCGGUGAAAUGCGCAGAUAUCAGGAAGAACACCUAUGGCGAAGGCAGCACUCUGGGACGGUACUGACGCUGAGACGCGAAAAGCGUGGGGAGCGAACAGG
rnacentral:rRNA from 1 species